rnacentral:rRNA from 1 species
UACAGAGGUCCCAAGCGUUGUUCGGAUUCACUGGGCGUAAAGGGUGCGUAGGUGGUCGGGUAAGUCUGAUGUGAAAUCUCCGAGCUUAACUCGGAAACUGCAUCGGAUACUAUUCGGCUGGAGGGUUGGAGGGGGGACUGGAAUACUUGGUGUAGCAGUGAAAUGCGUAGAUAUCAAGUGGAACACCAGUGGCGAAGGCGAGUCUCUGGACAUUUCCUGACGCUGAGGCACGAAAGCCAGGGGAGCAAACGGG